rnacentral:rRNA from 1 species
GACGAACGCUGGCGGCGUGCUUAACACAUGCAAGUCGAACGGAAAGGCCCUGCUUUUGUGGGGUGCUCGAGUGGCGAACGGGUGAGUAACACGUGAGUAACCUGCCCUUGACUUUGGGAUAACUUCAGGAAACUGGGGCUAAUACCGGAUAGGAGCUCCUGCUGCAUGGUGGGGGUUGGAAAGUUUCGGCGGUUGGGGAUGGACUCGCGGCUUAUCAGCUUGUUGGUGUGGUAGUGGCUUACCAAGGCUUUGACGGGUAGCCGGCCUGAGAGGGUGACCGGCCACAUUGGGACUGGGAUACGGCCCAGACUCCUACGGGAGGCAGCAGUGGGGAAUAUUGCACUAUGGGCGGAAGCCUGAUGCAGCAACGCCGCGUGCGGGAUGACGGCCUUCGGGUUGUAAACCGCUUUCGCCUGUGACGAAGCGUGAGUGACGGUAAUGGGUAAAGAAGCACCGGCUAACUACGUG